AUAUUGUUCUGUGUUACGUUUACAGUAAUGCUCGUUUUCUGGUUGGUUACCAGUUGAAGAACCUGCCUGGGCUUUAUCACCCCGGAAAAAAAGAGCUACUCAAGCAGGCAUGACGGGCGGAAAAACUGUCUUGUUAGUUGAAGAAAUGUGGACCGCAAAGAGUGGAUGCUAUAGCGGGACCAUUUUGGAUAUCACCGCCACAACGUGGGUGUCAGGGCGGGGAAAAAACAGAUACACGGGUUUAGAAACAAGUUUCUGAGGAUUGUAGACAUUUUAUAAAUGAUGGGGUGUAAAAACAGUGAAGUCAAUUGGUCUAACGCCAUUUCAUAAAACUGAGGGGCUCUGUAGAUGCAGAGCUUGAGGGAGAUGCUUGGACACACUGAGGUGAGACAUCCGAGCAGAAAUGCCAUUCUCAAGCAGGUGGGUCUCCACAUCCUUUUUAGCUCUCAAAGGGGCCAGAACCCGGGCUGCGCUUGCAGAAGAGAGAUUGCUUAUCACCCCGACACUGCCUGCAAGUCCCAACAGAGUUCAGAGUGGAAAAGCCAAAUCGGAAACACGGAUGAAGGGGCUCCGCGGGUGUGCCGUUCAUCGAAAUCCGGUGAAUUCUCUCAGGAAAAUACGCCAAGUCGGUGGUGCCCAGUUUCUCAGGUUUAACCACCCGCAGCCUUAGCCAGAGGGUUAUAAAGUGAUCUCAAGAAGGGAUCGCGAUCCGACCGUGCGAAAGCGCUGGGGACCCUGCGACGGCCCUUGUGGAAGGGGGCGCAAGCGCGAGCGGACACGGGCGCCCUGCUCUCCCGGGAGGUGCCCUGCUCAUCCGGCCUUGGGGUGCAGCCCCCAGCCUGCCGCGACGCCGGCGCGAUGAAGGCCAAGAACAUCAACUUACUGUUCGCCUUCGUUGCGGUCCUGCUCUUUUGCUUCUCCUGCUUCUGCAUCUCCAAGAUGAACCAAACCAUCAAUCAACUAAUUAAUUGCAGAAACCAUAUUUUGGAAUUUAAGGAAACGAUGCUACGUUUAAAAAACAGAAGUGACAGUCAUCACCAAAAUCUAGUGCAAGUCUUGAAUGAAAUGAAGUCUGAAAUUGCCAAGACAGCAGACGCAUCAGGAAACUUAGUAGAGAGGAAAAUGAGCAUGCUGAGUGAGAACGGAAUACUUCCUAACAGAUUUGAAAGCCUCAGGUUCUUCCUCCCUCAUCUAAGGACCACAGGGAACAUGUACCCAGAUGUAGCCACUGGCAGAGGAAAAGCAGGUGUUUCUUUCGCACUGGGAAUCACCACCAUUAACAGAAGGAACCACACCUACCUGAAGCAAGCGCUGACUUCUGUUCUGUCCAGAAUGACGCCUGAAGAAGAGGAGGACUCUGUGGUGAUUGUCUCUGUCGCUGACACUGAUGGUUAUUUAAAUUCUGUUGUUGACAUGGUUAAAACAAAAUUCAAAAGGCAGGUGAAGUCCGGGUCCUUGGAAGUCAUUUCAAUACCCACCUUCUUUUAUCCGAGUACACUGCUGGACACGGCAAGGGUGGACUCAGAAAGUUGGCAAAUAAAACAAGCAUUGGAUUAUUGUAUUUUGAUGCUGUAUGCCCAACCCAAGGCCACAUAUUAUUUACAGCUAGAAGAUGAUAUCAUAGCGAAACAGAUGUAUUUUACAAAAAUGAAAAAUUUUGUAAAUAGUCUCACUUCAAAAAACUGGUUGUAUAUUGAGUUUUCAGUACUUGGAUUUAUAGGAAAACUCUUUCAAUCGAAGGACCUACUUGACUUUGUACACUUUUUCUUGAUGUUCUACAAAGUGAAGCCCAUAGAUCUGCUCUUAAAUGACAUUUUCGUGGUGAGGAUGUGCAACUUGGGAGAGGAUCUUGGGAGCUGUAUACAACGCCAGAAAGAAGUUCGAAUUCAAUACAGACCAUCUCUGUUCCAGCACGUGGGCACCCACUCAUCAUUUCCGGGACGAAAACAGUACCUCAAGGACCAUUUUUACUAGGAUUUCCCUAAAUCUCACAAUUUCUUUAAAAAUUGUCAGACUCAUUUUUGGGGAAAAGGGCACAACAAGAAUCAGAUUUUUUCAGAUUACACUGGAUAAGAGACUACAUUAUACUGUUUAAUAUUAAGCCUUCAGUAAUAAAGAAUAUUGAAGAUAAUAAACAUACAAGAAGAAACUUUGUCAUACCCGAUCCUCUGACAUGUUGGUUUCCAACGGUAUCUUUCAGAAACAAGAAGUGUGGGAAGAUAAAUUACCUAGAAGAGGACAAAUCAGUGAACACAGUACUUGAAGGCAUUAAAUGACUUUUUAUGUCAAGACAAAAAUAGAGCUUUUGUCAGGGAUAUUUUUAGCCUAAAGAGUUGAAUUUUAAAACAGUACAAUUAGAGACAUUACUAACAUUUAAAAACUAUAUUUUAUUGAUGUAGACAGCAAGGCCAUUACACAGAAAUAUCUAACAGCUCAGAAGUGUGCUGCUGUCAUGGACAGGCUCUGUGGGAACUGAUCUGUGUGCUGUGAUCAUUUUGCAAAGAUCUCUAAAGAACUAGAAAGUGUAGAUCCAGCCUGGGCCUGUUUGUACCACCAUGUCUUACAGCCUACCUUUUAAUAAACAUGUUUCAGCUAUAAACACACCUGAGUACCAUAGGAACCUAUCAUCAGAUACCUUGGUAUGUGACAUAUUUUUGAUAGUCAUUCAUUUCUAAAAAUGUCACAGUUGGGUCCAUGAAUCGUUUGGGAACAAGUUAUCUUUCCAUCUGUUCUUUAUUGAUUUCUGACUGCAUUGCUGUUAGGAUGAGUUUAUCUGUGUGAUAAUAUCUGAGGGCUCUUGUGAAUUCAAGCGCUCCGUAGCUUAGACAAGAAUGUGUGGUCCAUGAACGUGCCUUUUCAAAUGUUGCAUUCACUUGUUUCUGUGGAUGUUGAUUUUAUAAAUUAAAAAUGCCUUUUUAAAGUA